GUCUGUCUCGCUCUUUUCUUCCUGCAUCGUCUUUCCACCUCCCAGCGUUCAAUCCUGCUACUCUUUUCCAUUGAACCAGCGGUUGUAAUUGGUCACAUUCUCUUGACAAGCUCUGAGCUAGACCUGGAAACUAUCACCAGUCACGCGUCUAACAUCUCGGCCCUGCCGGGAUCAGAGGCUCAUUCACACAGCUCUCCCGUCUUCUGUCUGGAACACACAUGCCCAAGCUGGAUUUAAAUGGUUGAAUGAAGCCGUUUGGCCUGUGGCAAGAGAGGAUUGUCGACACGCCAUGUCAUAGAUAUCAGUCUACAACUCUGACAGACUGACAGAAACAGAUGACUGUUUCUGAUCCUCAAGCCUAAGACCAGGUUGGACCCCUGUUCCCAGUCCUCUAUCCCAGCUGGGUGCUGCUGUCCCGGGCCAGACGGCUCCCUCUCCCACUCCUGGUCCGCGGGAG